UGAAGAAACGUCAUUGAGUGCAGCGUUGAUGAAGUCCUUAAUUUCCUCUUCCGAUGAUCUUCAUGGAGGCGAAGUUAAGGAGAUUUCAUCAACGCUGCACCCAAUUAUGUUUCUA
rnacentral:pre_miRNA from 1 species